rnacentral:rRNA from 1 species
GACGAACGCUGGCGGCGUGCUUAACACAUGCAAGUCGAACGGAAAGGCCCUGCUUUUGUGGGGUGCUCGAGUGGCGAAGGGGGGAGUAACACGUGUGUAACCUGCACUUGACUUUGGGGUAACUUCAGGAAACUGGGGCUAAUACCGGAUAGGAGCUCCUGCUGCAUGGUGGGGGUUGGAGAGUUUCGGCGGUUGGGGCUGGACUCGCGGGGUAGCAGCGUGUUGGUGGGGUAGUGUGUUAGCAAGGGUUUGAUGGGUAGCCGGCCUGAGAGGGGGACCGGCCACAGGGGAGGUGAGCCACGGACCUGGCUACUACGGGAGGCAGCAGUAGCGAAGGGGCGGCAAUGGGCGAAAGUCUGACGGAGCAGCGCCGCGUGAGUGAUGAAGGCCUCCGGAGCGGAAAACUCGGUUAUUGGGGAAGAACCGCUUUGGCAGUAACUAUGCACGUCUUGACGGUACCUAAUCAGAAAGCCACGGCUAACUACGUG